UCUUUCAUUUUUAGAGUCUCUUUGUCUUCCUCUUAUUCUAUAUCCUAAAUAGAAAUGAAAAGAUAAAGCAAAAAGGUCUUACUGACAAGAGGUGAGUUAAGAAAAGCACUGCUCUGCUGAAGAACACAGGGCAUGAAAUAGUGGCAGCUCUGCAAUAGGUCAAUGAUAAUGAUGCUCCUGAGGUUAUGCAACACCGACAGCCACUCUAUAAAUGUCAAAGCCUCCCAGAAACUUCCUGAGAAAGGUUUCCUGCUACCUGAAAAGCCUCCAGCAGCCAGUCUGCUGGGCAACAAAAAUCUCUAGAGAUCAGCAGACAAUCUUCAGAUUCUUCCCUGAAGCCACUGCCUCAUUCAAAAUCUGAUCUUGGAGAUUUUGAGGAUUUUUUAAUCCCAUUUUGGUGAUUUGGAGAACUAUUCUUACACUUAUAUAGCUGAAACAACAAAACCUUUCCUGACAGACACACAUAAAUAGGUGCAAUGAACAAUGAAAUCAUCAAUUAACAGAGCAGACAGCAAUCACUGCAGUGAUAAGUGCCCAUAUUAAGAACCUAAACUGAUGGGAUAUGGAAUAGAUGACAAGUAAAUAUUAUGUAUAAAUCAGGUCUAAUUGUGAUCAAGAUCACUAGUUUCUUAUCCUGUUUUGGUGUCCGUAGUGGAAUUCAACCAUUGAAUUGCAAAUUAUUCCAGAGUCCUGUGUGUCUGUAUGUCUCACUGGCUUCAGAUCCAGGUCCAAACUGCACCAGCAAUGCUGCUUUGGAACAUCCUGAGGUGAAGCAAUCCACGUGACUGACAGUGAAAGCUCUUAUCUUACAGGAUGUCCGUUUCCAGUGGUCAUUUAGACCAACAGCCAACCUAUUAAUCAGGGCAAACCAAAGCUUGUUAGGUCCCUGCUGGCCAAAGCACUUGAGAAGACAAAAGUCGCCAUGUUCCAGCUGACACCUGCAAGUAAUUACACAUGGUGAUAGCGGUGCGUGAAAGAACGAUUUGAGAACUGAUGUAAGAAAGAGGUGCAUUUCUUUUUUAUAGACUGAACUAUUUUCUGAUCCCUAAGUGCCUUAGGGUCUUAGAAAUCAAAGGCAAAUUAGGCAAGGUGAAGAAAAUCAGUCACCAGGUGUUCAUCUGGAGAAAUGAGAGAUCUCUAGUGAUUUUCACCAGUUCUGGAAGCAAAUUCCCCUUCCCAGAUGACCCUAUAUUUUAUAAGGCUGUUUGAUCAGACUAGUGGCAGAGGGCAACUGCUCCACAGAGAACAGAAUCUGGAGACCCACAUUUCCCAGUGUCUUCUCUGCCUACCAACAGAUCUUUCAGUCUGUGUCCAGUGUCUUUGGAUAUCAGGACACAUAUGAGACAUAGCAAAGACAGUCUUAGGAGAAGCUUAAAUAUGGUGGCUGACUCCUUCCUGAAAACCUCCUGAAGAGAAGAGGAGAAAAGAUGGAUCCUCCUCUGAAGAAUUCCAGAUGACCACAGCCAGAUUUCCACGUCUGGAAGGUAACCUACCCCCAUCAGACUUCUUCCUAUCAAAAGAAAAGAGGAAGACCAACUUCUGUUCACAGAUUUAGAAAUAAGUCACCAUCAUGUCGUACCACCACACCCUGGAUCUAUCAGUUGUUUUAAAGACAAAGAAGUUCCUCAGAUAACAUCCUUUCCAGCAACUAAUUUCAGCUUGUGUUUCAUUUUAAGCUGCUGAGUCGAUCAGAGGGACAAUUUCCUGCUUUGAGUUGAUCACCAGCAUCACUGCCAGCCCAAAGGCAGGUCCUCGACCACUGGAUUGAUCUCUGCCUAAGUCCCUGGAACUGUCUAGCUGUCCAGGCUUUGCUGUCACUGACCAUUUCAAUGUCCCCCAAACUUCUGGCAUUUGAGUUAUCAAUUAAUAA